rnacentral:lncRNA from 1 species
UCCAAGGGACCCCCCGGAAAAGACGGAAUUCCAGGACACCCCGGGCAGAGAGGAGACGCCGUGAGUGACCCAAAAAUCCCAAAUUUCACCCAAAAUCCAGCCAAAAAAUUCCCAAAAAAUCUUCUUGGAAAAUCCCCAAAAUCCCUGAGUCCAAAAUAUCCCAAAAAUCCCAAAUUUUCACCCAAAAUCCAGCCCUAAAAUUCCCCAAAAUUCUUCUUGGAAUUCCCAAAUUUCCCCCCAAAAUUCCCAAUUUUCCCCCCAAAAUCCCCCCAAAAAAUCCCAAAAUCCCCCCCAAAAUUCCCAAAUUUCCCCUCAAAUCCCCCCAAAAAAUCCCAAAAUCCCCCCAAAAUUCCCAAAUUCCUCCUAAAAUUCCCAAAUUUCCCCCUAAAAUCCCCCAAAAUUCCCAAAUUUUCCCUCAAAUCCUCCCAAAAAAUCCCAAAAUCCCCCCAAAAUUCCCAAAUCCCCCCAAAAUACCCAAAAUCCCCACAAAAUUCAGUGAUUUCCCCUCAAAUCCCAAAAUCUUCCCAAAAUUCUCAAAUUUCCCCCUCAAAUCCCCCAAAAUUCCCAAAUUUCCCCUCAAAUCCCCCCAAAAAAUCCCAAAAUCCCCCCAAAAUUCCCAAAUUCCUCCUAAAAUUCCCAAAUUUCCCCCUAAAAUCCCCCAAAAUUCCCAAGUUUUCCCUCAANNNNNNNNNNNNNNNNNNNNAUUUUGGGGGAAUUUUGGGGAAAAUUUUUGGGGAAUUUUGGGGGAAUUUUGGGGGGAUUUUUUGGGAAUUUUUUGGGAAAUUUUUGGGGAAUUUUGGGGGAAUUUUGGGGAAAAUUUUUGGGGAAUUUUUGGGGAAUUUUUUGGGAAUUUUUUGGGAAUUUUUUGGGAAUUUUUUGGGAAUUUUUUGGGAAAUUUUUUGGGAAUUUUUGGGAAUUUCUCCCCCUCCAGGGCAGCCCCGGCCCCCAAGGCCCGAACGGAUUCCCCGGCCCCAAAGGGCCCCCCGGACCCCCCGGAAAAGACGGAAUUCCAGGACACCCCGGGCAGAGAGGAGACGCCGUGAGUGACCCAAAAAUCCCAAAUUUCACCCAAAAUCCAGCCCAAAAAUUCCCAAA